GUCUGUUUGUCUGCCUUUCAUUUACUCACAGGGUUUCCUGUAGAUGAAUGGCAAUUUCUGUUUAAUAUGAGUUAUUAGUACAUUAUGAUUAUCAAAAAGCAUCAUGUUAAUUUAAGCAUGUAGAAAUUGAUGUGAAAUUGUAAAAAUGACUUUAUUUCAAGGAGACUGUGAUCGUUUCUCCAUCAGGAGUAGAAAACUCAAGAAAAAUGAAAUAAAUGAUUCAUAUUUAUUGAAUAUUUUCAAUCCAUAACAUUGAACAAUCAUUGUAGAUUCAACUAAUAUGAAUAUUUGUGUGUUAUUAUAAAAAGCAGAGGGUGUUUUCAGUGAAUAGAUGCUUGUUCACAGUGCAGGAGGUUUUUGUACGGCCACUUAAUGAGUUUGUAUCACUGUGGUGGACUUUUGGUGGAGGAACCAAACUCAUCAUUCACUCUGGCCCCAUGGUCAGGCCCUCCGUCUCUCUGCUUCCCCCCUCCUCUGAGCAGCUCUCCGGGGGCUCGGCCACGCUGGCCUGCCUGCUGACCGGCUACUCUCCUCAGGGAGCCGCGGUGCGCUGGGAGGUGGACGGUACGGAGGUGACAGAGGGGGUCCUGAGCAGCUGGGAGGAGGAGAGGAGCGGACGCUACAGCAGCAGCAGCACCCUGAGCCUGAGCCGGGAGCGCUGGAUGGAAGGAGAGCUGUACACCUGCAAGGUCCUCCAUCAUGACCACAGCCAGACCCAGUCCCUCCACAGGAGCCAGUGUAAGGCCUAGAGGGGCCGACUGAAGCCCAGGACAGGAGCUGUGUGUGUGUGUCCCACUUCUAAUAUUGAUCUUCUGCAUAUUCUUCUUCAUGUUCUUUACUUUUCAAAUUCUGCUGAAUAUUAUCAGUUUAAGUCCAAGAUAAAUGUUUCAUUCAACAGAAAUGUGGCAUAAAGAUUUAAACAAUGUCUUAAUAAAACUGUGGAUUAUGAUA